CUUGCUUUAUAUGAUAUGCAUGAAAAUGAAGUAGUUGGGUCCAACGCCCCUAAGACAACACACCUUAAUGUGAUUAAACGCGUAACUAAAAUUAAUCACCAUCCCUAGACCGAGAUUCAACACAAGGCUCAUGUUGAAUCUAAACAAAGGUUCAUAAUCAUCCUUAGGCCCUAAGGCAACUAUAUCCAUCAAAUGAAUGCAAAGUUUAUGUUAGUAGUAUCAUAUACUCUUGCUUUAAAAAUCGUUUUAUAAGCAUAGUGGGAGUAUUAUGUACAACUAAAACAAUGAGAUGGACCAAUAGUUGUAAUAGGACCAAAAUUGUUUUAAUAUAGAUUAAAAUGAAUAUUUAUAUGUGAUGAGACCUAAAACCCUCAACCAAACUAAUAUUAAGUUGAUAAGCGAGAGAUGUUUAGAAUAUCUCUUCGUGGCCUUCCACCGUGGUGGGAUCCAAUCGUUUAUGACUUGUACACUGGCUUCACCCUAUCAUGGGGGAGUACAAAGUGCAUGCUUAUACUCAGGAGGAAUCCAUAUACAUAUGAUGAGGUUGGUGUAGGCAACGAGGAUGGCCGACAUCGUAUCAUCGUGAGGCUAUUCUUGAACCCCUUCACGAAGUAAGCAUGGUGGGAAUGACUUAACUAAGUGAAAUGGAGCCAACAUCAUAUCAUUGUGAGGUGACAUUCUCUAGAGGCCAAAUAAGAUGGGUACUUGCAUUAGUUGCAAAUGAGUAAGCGUACUCUCUCAUUAUUAUUGUUGCUAGCUAGCCAUACAUCGUAUCAUCGUGAGGUGGGCUUGGUAAUAGUGAGCCUCCCAUAACCUACUAGGAGUUUCAUCCAAAACUCUCGAAUUCCAAUGAGGGAUAUGGAAUUUGCCAAAAAUAGUGGGUGGUGCUAUUUUGAUUUAAAGACCCGAAUCAAAUGGCUUAAAAUCAAUCAAUUUAUAUUCAUUAUGUAUUUGAUUACCAAUAUAUUUGCAAACGCUAUCCAACACUUGACAAAUAAAAGCCGAACGUUUAGUUUACGGACUUGGUACUACAAAACCAUAGAUUGUCUUUAAUGGCUUGUAAAAGUACCAAAGUAGUCUCAUCCUCACAAUCUUCCUAUUGAUAAUGUAUCAUUAGAAGAAUAUGUUAGAAAAGGUCUAUCAUAAAGAGGACAACACUUUUAAUGUCAUAAUUCUUCAAAUUACAAAUUACAAAUUGUUGUAUGAAGAAAUAGGAGUUGCUUUGAACAACCCUUAGUCAAUGCAAACACUUAGUGCUUGUUUCUUUGUUACAUGAACAAGGAACUUGAGAAGAAAGCACAAAGGCAUGGACACUUUAUGUGCCAUGAUUCUUCACUUACAAUUUGUUGUGUGAAGAAAAUAAGAGUUGCCUUGUACAACUCUUUAAAGUUUGUAAUUAUGUUUAGAACAUAAUGGUUGGUUGACAAAAAUAGUCCAUUAACAUGGAUUUAUAAUGAUUUUGAAUCAUUAAGUGUUGAAGUGAUAAAACCACUUAAUGAGACGGAAACUAGGCAAGGACUUCACCUUUGUUUCCCUAUCCUAAUCGUUCACUAAGUUUAUUGUAAAAACUAUGUAGUGAAAAAUAACCACAUGCUCUCCAAAAUGUUUGAUGUGUAUAACACAAUUGAAAAAAAGGUUUCAAGAGAGAUAGUGGGCGUUUAGGGACCAUGACUAUUGUAGUCAAAAGGAGAAGUCAGAUAAAAGAAGAUAAAUAAACUCCAAGGGAACAAACUUUCUUUAUAUGAAAGGAUGGACAUUGGAAGGGUAUUCGCAAGAAAUGUCUUGCAAGUGUCAAGAACACACCUUUCGAAGGUGUUUGUAAAUUGUUCUUGAAUAGUUCAAAACAGUUGGUUCUUCUACUUGAAUGCUUGAUUCCGUAUUAGUAACUAUGUUUUACAAAUCGUUGUAAAAGUGUGACUAAUAAGAAGUAGAAGAUAUAUGAGUGAAGAAAAGGUGCUUCACAUUCGGAAACGUUAAUCAAAUAUAGAUCUCUGCGAAAGCAGAUGGUACUUACUUCCUCAUAUGAACUACCAAAGAAAUUGGAAAAACAUAGAUUGUCUUUAUAUUCCAAUUUUAAGGAACUCAAUUCCGUCACUAUGUGAAAUGGAUAAAUGUUUUGUUUGACAAAACAAUGUUCUUUAUUAAUCAAUGAUUGGAUUAUGGUAAUCUAAUUAAUUAUCUCUAUAGUAGAGAUAAUAUGGUAGUGUUAACUGUUUAGAAAAUAAUGAUGCUUAAAACCCAAAAGGUUGCAAGGUAGUGACUAAUCCCAACUAAAGUUGUGAUACCUCUAAAACAUAAAUUACGAGUUGGUCAUAGAUGGACGCUUUGGAUCGUUAGAUCCGGAUCCAAUACCUUCUUGUUAAAAUUGUAUGGAGGCGAAAUGUUCGAAUCUUUAUUCUUUUGGAAAGAAGAAAGAAUCACAAAGUUGUUGAGGUCAAUUCACUUAGAUGUUAGUGGCACUUGUCCACAAACAUAAUACUACUCAUGUUGGAUGACAUUCACCGAAGAUCACCCUUGGUUGGACUAUAGUUUAUUUUGAAUAAACACAAGUCCGAAUACUUUGCAAAAUGUUUCAAAGAAUUCAAGAAAUGUAAGUUGAUGAGUAAGACGUCUAAAGUAUUUACCUCCUUAGAUUUGAUCCAAGAUAAGGUAACACUUUAGAACAGUUUCCUUGAAAGAUAUCAAGGAAAUAAGCAUCAUAAGAUAAUGUAUUUCUCCAUUAGGAGAAGAACGAACUUGAAUAAGAUUUAGUUCGUUAGAUAUUAUCUAUUACCCAUAUAUAGGAUAUAUACUUCUAAAACAAUAUGAUUGUCAAUGAGAAGAUCUUCCAAUAUUUUCAUGACUCCAUAAGAUGUAGUUGGAAAGAAAGACAAAUCUUAAGCAUGUUAAAGAUUUGGGGUUGUGUGCUAAUAAGCAAUAUUUGUUUGAUAACAAUCUUGUAGGAUAUCCUUAAAAUAACUUUUGGAUAUCGCUUCUAUAAACCAACUAACAAAUGUUGUUUUGUUGGGUAGUUCAUUGUAAUUCUACAAUGUGAUUUGCCUAAAAGCAAAUGAACGAGAGAUAGAACUCAAAGAAUGGGUUCUUUGAGAGACAAGAAAGUAAUCAACAAAUAUAACAACCGAGUUCCUAUACCACAAGCUCCAAAGUAGUCGAUAAGAAUGAAAAUCCUUAUGACUACAUUGGGUACAUAUACGAUAUAUACUCAAGAAAAUGGUAAAGUACCAUUUGACUCGAAAUAAUGAAACCUUCAUAGCUAAUUGGUAGCUUAAGGUGACUACAAUCAAAGAGAAUGGUUGACUUUAAAGGAACCAUUUUUGACGUAGUCUUAGUUUCAAUUAAUUCGAAGAUUGCUAGCUACAACUAAAUGGUGAUUCAAUGUUUUGACAUAAUAUGGGUUUCCGAAACCAUUAUUAAGAUAGUCUUGAUAAUAUAUGUCUAAAACUAUAAAUCACAAGACAUGUAAGUUGUAGAGAUCCAUCCAUCAUGGAUCUUAGCAAGUUACUGGGAGCUAUUUGCAUUUUAUGAGAAAAAGGAUCAAAUCGUUUGAUUUCUCAUAAAGAUGUAAAUGAAUCUUUUGUUUACUAGUUUUACAAAAGAUUAGUGGGAGUUAAUCAUGUUCCUAAAAAUUUAAAUAUAUAUGAUAUAUUAAUUUUGGAAAUGAAAAGAAUACUUCUUCGUUAAAGUUAUGACUUUAAUACAUUAUAUGAAGAUAGAAUGUAUAUGGGAGAUAUAGUCUAUAUACAUGGGAUGGAAAUCUAUAAUGAUAUAUUUCAUGAUAUAAUUGGAUUAUAUCAAUCCCUAAUAAUAGACAAUGGAUGCUAGGAAGUUUCUCAUAUGAUGAUAAACUUCAAUAAGAAGGACGAUUCUAGUGAGACUAGCAAGUUGCCCUUCUCAAAGGGAAUGUACCCUUUGACUCCCAAAGAAAUAAUGCGUAAUAGAAUCCUUUAUGCAUACGCAGAAAGGUGAUUUAUGUAUUUCAUAUUGUAUGAAAAACAUUGAUAUGAGUUGUACCUAGAACGGUACAAGACGAUAUCAAUGCAAGCCCAGGAUCAGAACCAUGGCAACUGUCAAGUGAGUCCUUAAGUAUUUGAGAAAUACUAAAGGAUAAAUUCCUCAAAGAUCGAGGAAGAAUCAAAGUAACGUAAUGGAAGCGUAAAUGUAUUAGAUUAUGAAUCUAAUCCAUCAUUGGAUGUUUCUUCAUUAUGAAUGAAGAGAUAAACAGAUAUCUCUUUAUUAUGACUAAAGAGAUAUUUGGAUGGAAACAUUAAAGUAAUGACUUUAGUGUGUUCCAUUAUGAAUGCAAGAUAUAUUGCCAUAUAGAAGUUUACAACAAUGUUGUUUGGAUGGGAAAGUUCAUUUAUGAACUCUCUCUAUUCGAUUCCAACCAGAAAGUGUAUGACACUAAUGGGGCGAUAGCUCAAGCCUGGGAAUCAAGGUCUCAUCAAGAUCCGAACUCAAAUGAGAGACUGAACCACAUGAUUGAGAAUCAUGUAUAAUGGUGACGUCGUUAUUCUCAAGGUUGCUUCUAUGGAUAACACAUAUAGAUGUCCACUGUCUAGGCCUACUAUUCAGCCAUUUAUGAAAUGACUACAGAAGAGGUAUCAUCAAGAUGACCAAGCUGAUUGGCUCUAGUGCAAGUGGGAGAUUGUUGGAAAUGUGCCCUAAAGCCAAUCAUGUGAUGAUACUUUACGGACAUUUCACAUGUUAAACUAAUCUAGUUUUACAUAUAAAGGGCAAAGAUUAUUGUUUGAGCCGUCUCAUAUAAAUGUUAUAUGCUUAAACGAUAAAGUCCAAGGAAUAUGUGAUUGGGAGAAUGUAAUCUAAUGAAGUUAGAUUCAUGAGACCAUUCUUUCGUAGACACAUCCUAAACGUUCCUGAUCAUAGGAUUGCCAAUUGGGCAUUGACAGUCCGUUAAGAUCAGUACGUACUAUGUCUUCUCUCAGGGAGAGUGAUUAGUCUCGAGUCAUUGGUGUGUGUGACAUCAAGACAAGUACGGUAGGUGCUCAAUAGAGAAUGAGUUCACUGAACGCGAUCAACGAAGGGUUCUCAUAUUCCAUGUCACAUGAGAACUCAUGGUUGGGAUAAUGCAAAGUAGUCCUUUGACCUGAGGCAUCAUAGUUGUCUUGUGGUUAAGUCCUUGAUCUUUGAUUAUGUCAAAGUCACUCCAUCAGGAGGGUGUCCACGGCAUCGUUGGGAUCAAGCCACUUAUCUAUGGAGACAAGUGAAUGCGCAACAAGGGAUCUCUAACCUUCAAACCGUUUGAGGGAGAAUACUCUCUGAUAUGAUUUGAAUCUCUGGCCAGAGUAUGAAUGAGAUUUGGGAAUGCGUUCCUAAUCACAUUCAAGGUAAUCAUAUAAGCACAAGACACACAUUGGAUAGUAGACAUGAGAAAAUAAACUAUCAAACCAAACAAUGUGGUCAAGAGUAUUAGAUUAGAGAAAGACCGUAUUGCAUUUGUAAUCUCGAACUGAAUAGGUUCUCUAACCUCUUCUGAUUAGCUUGGAUAACCAUGAUAUGCUGCUAGGUGUCACUCAUGGUUUGUGGAAGCCCUAAACGUGUGUAAUCACUAAAGGGAGAAUUGAAAAUAGUUUCAAUUCACAAUCGAUGUAAAAUGGUUUUAAUCGCCCACUACCUCGCUAAAAGGAACCUAAUGGAUCGCACACCAUAAAAGGUAGAGAUUGGAGAUUAAACGGAAAUGAGUAAGAAUGAUUAAAUGGUUUAAUCAUUUAUUUAUGGCAAGGAUUAAUUAAUAUGUUAAUUAAUCAAACGAAUAAGUUCGUUAAAGACUUCGGGAUAGUUUUGGACCUUAAGGCCCAAUGGGCUUCGAACGUCAAGCCCAUUAACUUAAGUUGUAUGACAAUUUAAUGAAUAAAGAUUCAUUAAAGCCCAAAAGCCCAAAAAUCCCAAUAUGGCCGGCCAUAGUAUAUGAAUUAGGGUUUUGGUUGUUUAGGUCACUUAAAGAAGUGACUAUAUAAAUGACUUUAUAGCCAAAUAUUCAUUAAGGAUUAAAUGGGUUAAUUUUGGGGAAAAUUGGUGAGAAUUGUCUCUCCAUUUCUCUCUAAAGAGGCCAACACCUUGGAGGGUACAUCUAGCAAUCCUACUACUCCAAGGUCACUCAUUUCUUCUACAAUCUAACCUUGGUGAAGAGACUUAGAGGUUCUCAAUUUUGGGAACUUGGAGAACCUAUUCUUCCAUCCAAAUCCAUGGAUCUAAGAAGCAAGGAAUGAAGGCCCUAUCUCUUUGGGUGAUUAGCCUUUGCUUAUGCAAAGAGGAAUCUACAAAGGUAUUAAUUUCAACUCACUUUGUUUUGAGUUGAUUAUUGGUUCACCAAUCUACUAGGCUUUGAAUUUCAUGGUAAUGUUUGUUUUUGAGUGCAUACAAGCAUGAUUCCGCCUUUAAUUGUUAAUUGCAUGCUAUAUGAUGUUGCUCAAAUGAACAUGUUUUCCCAAAAGAUUUCCUUCACUAUGUACCCUAGUUUGGUUAUAUAUAUUUCCCUAAAGUUUGAUUGGUUUUGGGAUGUUUUUGGAGUAAAAAUGUUCAUGGAAAUUUUUUGGGUUUUUUCAUGAAUGUUCUUCAUUGUUCUUGACAUUUUUGCCAAGAACAAAAAGUUUUAUGUUUUGAUUCAAAGUGUUGAUUUAUUUCAUAAAGUUUAUGUUUUAUGUUUUUCAAAUGAUUUAAUGUGUUAGAUAUUUGUUUAAAUGGUGGUAGAAAUAAUGGUGGGUGUGAAAGGAUUAAUUCCCUUUCACACACACCACUUGCACCACUUGCAUGCUUUAUGUCAAAACUCACAAAUCAACACACACAUCACUCCUUUUCUUUCUCCAAAACCGGCCCUCCCUCAAGUGGGAGUACUUUUGGGGCUUUUAUGCAAUUACAUAAAGUUUUGAUACUUUUGUGUAUUUGCACUUUGGCCCAAAAGUUUACGUUUUUACGUUUAGGUCCAAAAACGCUAAAGGACAAAUUGUUUUGCUCCUUUAAUGAAGUUUUUGCAUUGUUUAAAUUUUGGGUUCUAGUUGUAAUUACAUGAAGUAGUGGACUUUUGUGUUUUUACAAAGUGACCCCAAAAGUUUAUGUUUUUGCAAUAUAGCCCAAAGGUUGUGGUUAUUGCAUGAUGGCCUAAAUUAGGUAGAGAACAAAAUUGUUUUGUCUCUUUAAAUGAGAAUUGGAUUUUCAUUUCAUUUAGCUCCAUUUAAAUCAAUCUUAUGGAUACAAAAACCAAAUGAAAAUGUUGCAUUCAAUUUAAUUUGUUAAAGUGUUAAUUAAUUAAAGGGUGAUUAUGAACAUAAGCCUACGAUAAUUGAGCUAUGUGAAAGGCCAUUUCAAAUUUGUUUGAACCAUGGGAAUGUGUAGAUUAGAUUUUGGUUGUAAUUUGAUUUGAUCAAAUGUUGUAAAAGAGCUUAAGCUCUUCUUUACUUUAAAGUAAUUUAUUUUGAUCAAUUGUUGUAAAGAGCAUAAGCUCUUCUUUACUUUGAAGUACUCAUUUUCUUGUUUUAUUUGAUAUGCAUGAAAAUGGAGUAGAGGGUCCAACGCCCCUAAGACAACACGCCUUAAUGUGAUUAAACGCGUAACUAAAAUCAAUCACCAUCCCUAGACCGAGAUUCAACACUAAGCUCGUGUUGAAUCUAAACAAAGGUUCAUAGUCAUCCUAAGGUCCUAAGGCAACUAUAUAGUCCAUCAAAUGAAUGCAAAGUUUAUGUUAGUAGUAUCAUAUACUCUUGCUUUAAAAACCGUUUUAUAAGCAUAGUGGGAGUAUUAAAUACAACUAAAACAAUCAAAUGGACCAAUAGUUGUAAUAGGACCAAAAUUGUUUUAAUAAAGAUUAAAAUGAAUAUUUAUAUGUGAUGAGACCUAAAACCCUCAACCAAACCAUUAUUAAGUUGAUAAGCGUGAGAGUGCUUUGAACACUCUUUUGUGGCCUUCCACCGUGGUAGGCUCCGAUCGUUUGUGACUCGUACACUGGCUUCACCCUAUCAUGGGGGAGUACAAAGUGCGUGCUUACACUCAGGAGGAAUCUAUAUGCAUACUUGAUGUUGUGAAAGGUAGGCAACGAGAAUAGCCAACAUCAUAUCAUUGUGAGGUUGUUCUUGAACCCCUACCCGAACUUGCAUGGUGGGAAUGACUUAACUAAGUGCAAUGGAGCCAGCAUCAUAUCAUUGUGAGGUGACAUUCUCUAGAGGCCAAAUAAGAUGGGU
rnacentral:lncRNA from 1 species